rnacentral:rRNA from 1 species
AUUGAACGCUGGCGGCAUGCCUUACACAUGCAAGUCGAACGGUAACGGGCCUUCGGGUGCCGACGAGUGGCGAACGGGUGAGUAAUACAUCGGAACGUGCCCGAUCGUGGGGGAUAACGAGGCGAAAGCUUUGCUAAUACCGCAUACGAUCUACGGAUGAGAGCAGGGGACCGCAAGGCCUUGCGCGGACGGAGCGGCCGAUGGCAGAUUAGGAAGUUGGUGGGAUAAAAGCUUACCAAGCCGACGAUCUGUAGCUGGUCUGAGAGGAUGAUCAGCCACACUGGGACUGAGACACGGCCCAGACUCCUACGGGAGGCAGCAGUGGGGAAUUUUGGACAAUGGGCGCAAGCCUGAUCCAGCCAUGCCGCGUGCAGGAUGAAGGCCUUCGGGUUGUAAACUGCUUUUGUACGGAACGAAAAGCCUUCUUUUAAUACAGGAGGGUCAUGACGGUACCGGAAGAAUAAGCACCGGCUAACUACGUG